AUUGAACGCUGGCGGAAUGCUUUACACAUGCAAGUCGAACGGCAGCACGGGGGCAACCCUGGUGGCGAGUGGCGAACGGGUGAGUAAUACAUCGGAACGUGCCCAGUCGUGGGGGAUAACGUAGCGAAAGUUACGCUAAUACCGCAUACGAUCUACGGAUGAAAGCGGGGGAACGUAAGGCCUCGCGCGAUUGGAGCGGCCGAUGUCAGAUUAGGUAGUUGGUGAGGUAAAGGCUCACCAAGCCGACGAUCUGUAGCUGGUCUGAGAGGACGACCAGCCACACUGGAGCUGGGACACGGCCCAGACUCCUACGGGAGGCAGCAGUGGGGAAUUUUGGACAAUGGGCGCAAGCCUGAUCCAGCCAUUCCGCGUGCAGGACGAAGGCCUUCGGGUUGUAAACUGCUUUUGUACGGAACGAAAAGGCUCUGGUUAAUACCUGGGGCUCAUGACGGUACCGUAAGAAUAAGCACCGGCUAACUACGUGCCAGCCGCCGCGGUAA
rnacentral:rRNA from 1 species